rnacentral:rRNA from 1 species
GACGAACCGUGCAACCGUUGUUCGGAAUCACUGGGCUUAAAGGGCGCGUAGGCGGGCAAGCAAGUCGAAGGUGAAAUCCCACGGCUCAACCGUGGAAGUGCCCCCGAUACUGCUUGUCUUGAGGGAGAUAGGGGCGUGCGGAACUUCCGGUGGAGCGGUGAAAUGCGUAGAUAUCGGAAGGAACACCGGUGGCGAAAGCGGCGCGCUGGAUCUCUUCUGACGCUGAGGCGCGAAAGCGUGGGGAGCGAACAGG